rnacentral:tRNA from 1 species
CAAGAAGUAGCUUACCAAACAGCCCCCAGCUUACACCUGGAAGACGUCCAUAGCAGACCCUCUUGAG